rnacentral:snoRNA from 1 species
CCUAUCCGCAAGAUGAAGCCAACACGGAUGUAAAUGAGCUCUGCUCGCUGUCCGAGAGCGCAAAACCUCGUGUGGAUUGUUCCGUUGCCUUCCUUCUGACCAUACGU